rnacentral:rRNA from 1 species
AUUGAACGCUGGCGGCAUGCCUUACACAUGCAAGUCGAACGGUAACAGGUCUUCGGAUGCUGACGAGUGGCGAACGGGUGAGUAAUACAUCGGAACGUGCCUAGUAGUGGGGGAUAACUACUCGAAAGAGUGGCUAAUACCGCAUGAGAUCUACGGAUGAAAGCAGGGGAUCGCAAGACCUUGUGCCACUAGAGCGGCCGAUGGCAGAUUAGGUAUUUGGUGGGAUAAAAGCUUACCAAGCCGACGGUCUGUAGCUGGUCUGAGAGGACGAUCAGCCACACUGGAACUGAGACACGGCCCAGACUCCUACGGGAGGCAGCAGUGGGGAAUUUUGGACAAUGGGCGCAAGCCUGAUCCAGCAAUGCCGCGUGCAGGAUGAAGGCCUUCGGGUUGUAAACUGCUUUUGUACGGAACGAAAAGCCCCGGGUUAAUACCCUGGGGUCAUGACGGUACCGUAAGAAUAAGCACCGGCUAACUACGUGCCAGCCGCCGCCGUAA